UUCCUUCCUUUCAGAAUACUUAAUGUAAUCACGAAUAAGAACCCAGUUUAUUUUUAGUGGCACUAUUGGGCUUUGGAGACUUGGAGUAGAGUAACUUGCAGUGAGUAGGAUGUGCCGGUGGUCGUCGUUAUAGAACACAGGGGAAUUCUCUGGUGGCUCCUGCUGACGACGAUCAUGAUGUUCAACAACAACAACAACCGUGACAGCCAAUACACUACUGCGUCUAAUUCUAGCGUCCCCCCCACCCAGCAGAACCAAGCAGUAGUCUAUCUGAACUCUGGAGAUGGCGACGAGGAUAAUCCAAACAGGAGGAGGAAGCCGGAAGAGGACUCUGAGAAUAAAUUUGAAUGCCGCUUCUGUGACAUGAAGUUCCCCAAAUCCCAGGCUCUGGGUGGACACAUGAAUCGUCACCGGGUGGAGAGAGAACAGGAGGAGAUACAAAAGGCAAGAAAUCUUCUAAUUGCACAGCAGCUUCCUCCACCGUAUUAUGCGGGUGCACAAUAUUAUUCUCGAAUGGAUGGUGCAAGCACUUCUGUUGAUCCGACUGGAAAUUUUCCUUCAACUGGAGGCUCCUUCAUGACACCUCAGCUGCCAUUCUAUCAACCUCAAGCUCAAUCGAGUGUGCAAAACUGGCUAGGGAACCAAAUCACGCGCCCUAUGGAAAGGCCUUCUGAAGCUGCGGAGACGUCGGUGCACUUACGUGGAAAUUCCUCCCGUUCACAACACACACAAUCUGAAUUACCGCCCAGAAGCACACAAUUCACACAAUCUGAACCAACACCCAGAAGUACACAAUUCACGCGAUCUGAGCCCCAAUCUAAUUGGCUACAAGCUACACAGCAUUCUGAUUCAGACGUCGAUGGCUUGGAAUACAUUAAUUAGUGGUUGGAUUAUGAUACUGUGCAUGUAGAAGACCCUGGAAGCUUAGGUGUGCAAGGAUAGACAGAUAGAUGCAGGACAGACACUAAAUAUGUUUUGAAACGCAAUUUGGACCCUUCAAGCAAGAAGAAAACUCAGAACCACCUGAAUAGCUGAACGCAGCAAAUUCAAAAGAUCGGAUGAUAUACGUGUGUGUGUGUGUAUAUAUAUAUAUAUAUAUAUAUAUAUAUUAUUGCAGGAAAAACAGAUCACGUUGAGAUGGCAAGAAUGAACGGGAGAAAAAGCUAAAGCCAGUUGAAUGUAUUAAGUGGUUAUUUGAAAUUUCUGCUUGUACCGGUGAUGCAACUUCAUCUCUGCAACGAUUAGGAAGCCUGUGGACGAUUACAGAAACUGUGCUUUUGGUAAAAUUAUAGAACAGAUUGCCCGAGAACUGAGAAAGGAUAAAAAUGAUGCUCACGGGGAAAAAAAAGCAGAUAGAGAUUUCAAAAUGGCAUAUAGAGCUGGUGAUCGCAAAGAGCUAGCGUCAGAAUUACUUUUCAAGCUCGAAAUGCUGCAGUAUUAAAACCACAUAUCUAUGAAGUCAGACAUGGGUGAACAUCUAAACUAUGGAGGAUUGAAUAUUCGAAUGCCCCAUAGUGUCAGCGAAGUGGAGAACACAAGGCGAAUCAUAUCCCGAAAUCAGUCGGAAAAUCACCAUGCAACGAGAGAUGUUGUCAGGUCCAUAAUUGAAAUUAGAUUUAAGUAAAGUACUAAAGAGAGCAACACGUACAUAUUGUGGGAUCUUCAAUGCAAAACCUGCUCAUAGAUGGUCCUAGAAACUUUUUAAGUACAGGAGUCUUGGAAUUGUUUUCUGGUGGUCCUUGUGCAGAGGGAUUCUUACUCUCCAAGUGAACAUAAAGAAUGCAAGUUCCUGAGCAGUACAUUCAAACAAAGGGAGCAUGUAGGUAGACCCGGUGCAUUUGGAACACGUUUCUACUCUUAUUCCUGACAGUACUCGUAAAAUGAGACUUCCGGAUAGCUCAAAUUAGGAAUUCCGUAGAAUCGUUAUUUAUUAUGCUGUCUUGCAGACCUCGCAAUUCAAACCCAUUUUCAAAUCAUAGAAAUAAGGAACUGUUCAAAAUUCAUGAAUGGCCCUUCAAGAGGAAUGGGAAAAUCUAAUGCGAAAGUUGUAGGUGGUAAAUGUAGAAAGCGGUAUGUAAUGCUGGAGAGAACUUUGAACGGCAGGCUGAGUUCAACUGCAACGGAAGCAUCUCGAACGAAUGGAAGUUUUUAACUACAAUGGGAAUGGUUGGUAUGCCAGCUUCGGAUUCCUUGUGGUUAAUCAUUAGACUGCAGGAUGGUUAGGAGAGAAGCAGAAAGUGAUGGUCUCAUAAAACAUCAACCAAGAGCGGUUGUGGCGUCUAAGAUAGACUAAUCGUGUACACAAUGUGGACUUCGAAUAACCGGUGCUUCACAUGAUCUCGAACUCGUAUCCAAAACUUAUUUGUCGGGUGCAAGUUUUCUUUCACCAGUAAGUUUGAGAGUUAAAUUUACCAAUACGUAGAAUCUUUUAACUCAGAGCAUGAGCUACCAUUUGUUAGGAGAAGUACUUUCUCUUGCAAGUAUUCAUCCAAAGCACUUCGACUUUUCUAAUCUCAUUUAGAUUUCAUCAUUGUAGUGGAUCGCUUCCCGAACAAUUCAUUGUGCACAUCGUGCUAAUUUGGAAGAAAUAGAUCUAUUGCACAGAAGCUUCAUCUCUCCAGUGGACACAUUUGAGUUCCGGUGUUUAUUUUAAACACUCCAUUGGCUUACAUCUUGCUAAAUUAUGGCUUACAAAGCAGUCAAUUAAGUUGAAGAUCACUGACUGCCACUCAUUUCAUGAUGGAAGAUAGAUGCUUGUCUUUUGAGGAUGUGCUACAGUGAGUUCGUUGUCUGCAGUUAUUAACAGCAUGUAACAUUCAUGUAUCUGACCAAUACAUUUCAGAACCCUUGCAAAGUGAACACAAAGAUAUUCAAAUGAUGAAUCAGAGUCUUGGCAUUCGAUGCUAACCGAGCUGCAGCUGGUAGUUACAGAAGGGUCGUCAUUCAGAUAAUGAAUCAAAUUUUUUUCGAAUUCGUUGCUAACCGAGUUGCAGCUAGUACUUACAGAGGGGUCGUCAUUCAAGCACCUGCACUCAGAGAUCGUUGUACACUACGUUGGCGAUUUACACUAUACUGCAAGAUCUUGCUCCUCAGUCUGUUGGGAGCAGGACCUUGACAGAAAUAUCUUUGUCCUGAGCAUGCAGAGAUCCCAUAAACCAGACUGCACAAAAUUGUGAAGCACUAGGGUGUGGCACUUCUUUGUCUAGUACGCCUUCUCAACAAACCUCCCUUGGUUGAUCUGCUUCGAUUUC